AAAAGCAAACAAUUUUUCUUUUUUAGUAGAGAUUGGCAAAAUCCGACUGCAAACUGGUUAAAUCAACACAUUAUGUAUGAAAGGAUUACGCUGUAAGCGUAUAAUGACGAUAAUGCGCGAUGGCGUGCGACCGCUGGAUGAUCAACGGCAUCGUAAUUUGUGCAACGUGCAAUUUGCGGUUCUCUUUUUCCGGAAUGGUGAAUAUUUUAUCGAUGGUGGGACGACACCCUGUCGCCCGUGCGUGGCCAAUAAAUCUACAUCAGUUAUCGAGUGAGAAUUACGAACGUUUCAUCUGUCAAUAUUGUUCCGCGCAAUUUCCAGCACACCCCCGCGAAUCGUACGCAAAAAGCGCCGUACGUAUGUGCGACUGAAAAGUUUUAUAUGAAGAAUGAAAUAUGAUGUUCACGUGUCCGGAUUCGUCCAUAACGAGGAAACGAACGAGAAAAUGAUUGCGGGAUAUCGUAAACGCACGGAAUUUAUUGUGACGUUCUAAAUUUAUUAUUUUUUCUUUUCUUUUCUUUUUCUUUUUUGGAAGCGAAGCUGAGCAGGCAGUCUGCAGUAGCAACGAUGAAAUUCGGAAAAUUCUUACGCAUCUUGCGUUCUAAUUCCGGAUACCCCGGUCUCCAGUGUCGAGUCGUGAACGCGAGGCGGAGUCGCGUUCAGAAACGAUCAGGAACGAUAAGUACGCGGCCACGAUCCUUCGCAGGCAGACCCCGAUUGGUCAAACCUAAAGUCUCUCGAAGCGAACUACGUCAUAUGCGCGGGAUGAUCGAUACUCGACGAUUAUAACGCCCCGAGGACGUCGUACAUAUUAAACCCUCCACAACACCCGUUCUUCCUCCACCUCUGCCACCCUGUCCUCGCUCAUCCCCUCUCGGUUCUCUCUCUCUCUUUCGUCCACCCUCCUAUUCCUUUCUUCCUUCCGUAGUAUUAAACUCCCUUUGCAGAUCAAGAAUUUCACAUCACCCGGUGCUCGCUAUUGAACCUUUCUGGCGCGACCGCCGAACGUGAGAUUGAAAACGUUCAUUGUGUCCGAUACGCUUCUUUCUAGAGGGGUGGUAUUCCUUUAUUCUCCCUGCGUUCCUUUGAACUCGCAUCUGCAUUAGGAUCGGUCAGUAUUUCCAGACUUUGUACCAGGCAUGCCGCAAAUAUAUCGAUGCAUGGAGUACCUCCAAAACGAAGACACUUGCUGAUUUUAGUAUCGUCUUGUGCAGCACCGUUCAAUUUCAAAGAACAAAUGUUCACUUGCCAUACGUGAAAUAUGUUUCUUCAGCAUAUCUAGGCUGUCUUUAGUGUUUCACUCGUUUCUAAUAAUUAUCUCAAAUUAAAAUAUCUUCCGUUUUUUCGACCAAUCUAUCGUUAAUCAAAAAGUGCCACAGAUUCAUUAAAAACAAUAUGUUGAAAAUCUAAGUUGUAUUACUCCUUACAUAAAUCAGGAUUUAAUUGUAAAAAAAUUAACCAAAUUAAUUUUCGCAACCAAUAUUUUAAUGAACGUCUCGUGAGAAGAACCGUGAGAGAAUUCGUCGAACACUACGGCUUGGAGGAAAUAACGAGGAACUUUGCAGUCGUAUUGCAAUCGUCGUGGACAUAGUCAAGAGCCAUCGACACCGCAAUUAACUGCAGACAGAAGGCAAAGAAAUUAACAGCAGAUUUUGCGUCUUAUCGCGACCACAUGUAGGCGACUGCACGUCGUAAAUCGUAAUGGUGAGAUAUAUGUGCAGCAAGGGUGAACGUGCGUCGAAUUUGCAUGAGAGCCAUACCAAUGCGCAGGAACGCGAUUAACGAGGGUAGUGGAGAAAGAGGGUAGGACGCGAUAGUAAUGCUAAAAUCACGAAAUCGUGUGUUUGCAAGCGCGAGCAUUUAAUUACGGCAAUUUUCAGGAACGAGCCGAGAGAUCGCGCGAUUUCACUCCCGGGGGGCGCGAAUGGGCCGGCGAUCAUCGGCGUCGAGUGAUUUUCAUCUUGCAAAUUUCGGCCUCACGGGAGUCGAUGCAAAACUACUCGUUCAAAAUCUCCGUAGUUGGCGCGUAAAGUUCAUUAAGCCCCUUAAAUCGCUGGUUAAAGCUCGUCUCGCGUAAGGGAUACAUGUGUAAUAUUACUCCCCAAGGGGUGAGUUUGCCUCUGGCCACUUUACCUGACAAUUCUUUGUCCCUAGGCGAGGCUACCGUGAUGCGUAAUCAAACGGGAUUGCGAGGAUUACGAGAGAGAGAGAAAAGGAAAGAGAGAUAGAGAGAGAGAAAAAUCUAUAAUACAAAAAUCUAUUUUAUAUAUAUUUUAUAAAUAUGUACACGAAAUUAUAUUUAUCUGUUUUCUAAUGCACUCAGGAAUUCGCGGUUUUGAAUAGUUUUGAUAGAAUGUUUCAUUAAUGACAUUUAGUAAAUUGAAAAUUAAUUAUGUUGUUUACUUAAGCUUAUUUCCAUUCUUUAUUUUAGAUAAUACAUCAUCCUCAAUAGUUUCCUUCAAAUUAUCGUGUGCUUGGGGACACCCUAUGGUUUGCCGAGCAAACGCUUCGAACUUCGAGGUAAGUUCGUCUCCGCGGCGGAAGAAUCGCUCUCAUUUUUCCUCUCGUGAAUAUUUAAUCCGGAGACGGAAGCAUAGUAAAAAGAAGAAAGCAGAAAGGGGGAAAAGUAGCAGCGAAAAAAAUGCUAAACGACGGAAGCAGGCGGCGUUAAGCCGAGACGAUACGCCGGUCUCUCUGCAAAGGGAAAACUCGCGACGUAUUCCAUGAGAGAAGAAUAACCGUUUUCUUCACUUUUUCCUACGCGGUCGCUGGAUAUACCGAGCGGUGAAACGCGGCCAGAUUUACUGCACGAUAUUGGUUUACUGUGUUUUUUAUGCUCGCGAGAUAAGAUUUAUCGAGCCACGUUUCAGACUUUGCUGGACAGAUCAUGAUACCCCGCGAAAAAGGGUAUUAUAGUGAUAGCUAGAAAUACCUAUUCAUUAUUAUAGGCUCCAAAAAUCAAUCGUUUCCGCUCCGGUAUUAAUAAUAGCGUACUCUAUAUUCGAGAGUGAUGCAGAACGGACUAUAUACAUUGACGUCAAAUUCAUAACUAGUGACAACUAUUUUAAACUCGCACUCAUUCCUAAAACAUCUCUUGUAAGUUAUUAAUUCAAGUUAAUUUUUAUUUUAGUAUUUUUAUUCGGAAUCCUCAAUUUCGCGUGCUGUCAGGCUCAAGAAUAUUAAAGGCAACGGGCUUUAAUUACUCACCAACAUUACCGAUGCGAAUUUAAUACAAAUAUAUCGAAAACAGCUGAGAUCGGAUAAUAUUAUAAAAUCUACGCUCGCUUCGAUGGGGAGCUCACAGCUGACUCAUGAUUUUCCACAUUCCCAUACGAUGGGGAGAAAUUAUCUUCGAGCGAGUUGCCGUUCGGAAACGAAGAUAUCGAUACCAAUCGAGAAACCGGGGACAGUGCCUUAUCACUAUUGCUUAUUACUCCUGGCAGCGGUAUUCGCAACGUUUUAAGUGCCUCUCAGGCACUUGAAAGGCGUGAGAUCGCACUCGUCUUGGCUAGUCGAAGGUGGCUGCUGCUUAGAACCGGAAAUUGAGAGCCGGCAAUCGCGCCGGCUAGAACGGAGAGGAUGUAGUUGGAAAAGUUGGUUGGUGCAUCCGGUGCCGGAGAACGAGAAUUGUUUCCCUGCUUAUCUCGCGCUUACCUCGCGGGUAAAGCUAACACACGAAGCGCCGCUUGACAAGCUGGCGGAAUUCAAUGAGGAAUUCAAUGAGGGAAUCGAAUCUCUCUCGAAAGCGCUCUGCAUCGCGAUUAACGGCCCAGGAGAGACCGAUACUGAUAUCAAUCUUAAAUUCCUUCUGAAUUUUCUUCUUUGAAGCAAACUACAAGAUGAAAAGGAAAAAAGUCAAUUAUGCACCCCCUAAAUCAAUAAAACUGUUACUGACUGAAUCCGUGGUCACUGAAAUCGGUAACUCUUGCUGAAUCCCUAAGGAUCGGUAUAGAGUUCGCUACAGUUGGUUUCGUUCGUUCUACUUUUUAACAGUAUCAAUCUUCCUUGGUUACACUUUCCGGUAAUCAAAUAUGACUGAUCUUUUCCAGUGAAAUUCCGCUAAUGAAAACCUGCAGUGCUACGCUUGCAACUGAGUCUGUACGUGAAUGAAAAACGACGCUGAUUCCAUUUAAGAGGGCAAGAAACGAAAGAGUUGUAUAAUGGAUCGCCGGGUCAUACAAACACAAUAAAUUUUCCACACGCAGACUCUUCCUCUCUUCUUUGGACGAACUUGCAAAUUCUUUCAAAGACGCGCGGUGAUCCGCGCGACGUGCAUUCGCCAAAGUGCAUUCGCUGCAUUUUCUGGUCGUCGGUGGUGGUGAAUCGACGAUGCCGGAUACUUCGCAUAACUCCGCGCGAGUUUCACUUAUCCGACAAGUGUGGGGUAACCGAAUAAUGGACGAGGCUAACGACACGCGACAAGAGUGCGAGCCGUUCCCUUGACUAUGGGAGAGCAAGUGCCGCCGCCGGAAAUUUACUUACGCGAUAAGACGAUGAACAGCAGUGCAUUUGUGUCUCGAGUAACGAGCUGAGUGCUUGCUUCGCUGGUGCGAGAACUUAUCGACCUCAUCUGAGCUCCUGUGUCAUGCAUCGGAUGACGUUAUCGCUACUAUCGUCCUCAUCUAGUUACGGUAACGUUUGAUAAAAGGACCCUCCAGUGUGACCUAAUUAAAUCUGCAUUUAUUUAAGUGAUACGCAAAGCGUUGGCCCUAGCUGAUCUUGCAUUGAUCUGUUUUCCAUACGUAUUGGCAAACGCGACUUAUAAUUUUCAUUACUCGUUUCAUUAAUAAUUCAUUAAUCGUUUAUCAAACACUGCCGCGGGAAUAACGAGUGCCGGAAUUUACACGAUUCGCACAACGGAAUGUUUGAUUUUAUGUUUCAGCUGCUAUCAUAUUUUCGCAAUGUGUGUUAUGGUGCACCAAUCGAAAAAUUUCCAAUUAAUACAUCUGUGAUUCUGUUUAUAUUAAAUUAAACGCUUGUUUAACACGUUUGCAUAAACGCAUGCACUCGGAACGCCGAUAGUCGAGUUAUUUUUGAGACUAUUCGUUAGAAAAUCGCAUAUAUUUAAUGACUUGCAGCAUUCACGAUACAAUGUUAAUAUGACGUCACGUCGCAUUGUGUCUACCGUGGAUAUUGACAUUUUUUUCCCGGGUUGACAAAAUUACGGGAUGUAACUAACAAUAAUAAAUUAUAUUCAAUUACUCGUUACGACACGCCGGAAGAGUAAUGAUACCGUCGCCGCAAACGAACUACUUCCUUUUGCGAGGCAUGCCAGAAACGAUAAUAAAGGCGGUUUAUCAUCGCCGUUGUUAGUGGUACCGCCAUCACGACGACACGACAUAACUGCCGAGUUACGGCAACCGCUGCGAUCCGAAAUCACCGUGUAAAUGAUCAAACUCGAUGAGUAAAUGCGCACAAAGAGCAUGCAAGAUAACAAAUAACAAACAUAGCAAUAUUACAUUUUCAACGGAUUGCUGAUCAUCGGAAGCGUCGAUUUUCGAUUUCGCAAAUAAUAUCUAUCAGAAACUAAUGAAAUGCAACGUCUCGCGUUAGGUAACAAUUAAGGACGGGAGGGCAGAAACUGAGAAUAGAAUUAUCCAGCGUGAAAGACGUAUUAGGAGUUGAAGACAACUUGGCAGACAGCUAGAUGAUGAAAGUUCGUGAUGUUCAAUACUCAAGCGGUUUAGCCGUGCUGAAACCAUCAUAUGUUGUACACGGCAUAAUACAGGAAAUUCAGCAAGUCUGUUAAACCUGUGGCUUAACGAUUAACAAGAUUAAUACGUCAAGAUAUGUUUAAUUGCAAAAUUUGAGUAAAAAUAUUACGUAAAGUCGACUCAAUUGGUUAAUGCAACCUGCUCUUAAAGAGCGGAAAGAAUUACGCGUAAUGACGCGGAUAGAAACACUAUUUUUUUGCGGUAAUUUAGCGCAUUCAUAUUUUUCCCGGUACGCGUCUUUGCAGAUCGGAGUAUCCAUUGUUUCGCAGCGUUUUGUGACGGGUCUGAUAAAAUAAAGAGCGACACGAUCGCGAGGCGGAAACGCGAACCGUAAAAAGCGUCGAAUAAACUCGAGGGAACGUAAACGAGUGUUCGAAUGGAAAAGAGUGUUGCAGCGGUAAAGAAGAGAAGCACCGUUUUAUCUGACAUGCAAAGGAAUACACGGGACAGGAGAUUUCAUCGAUAGAUGAAUAUAGCUAUCGCGGCAAACUCGGAUUUUCUCCAAUACGCCGCAAGCUACAUAAUGUACCUUUAAUAAAAAUGCAUGCUCGCGGAGAGCAAUUAUGUUGCUGAAUUCUAAAAUGUUCCUUUCAGCUGCUCCAUGAUAGCCAAACGUAUUUGCUCGUAUUUAUUAAAGUUUACGUUAAACGA